UACGAAGGGGGCUAGCGUUGCUCGGAAUUACUGGGCGUAAAGCGCGUGUAGGCGGUUUUCCAAGUUGGGUGUGAAAGCCUUGGGCUUAACCCAAGAAAUGCACUCAGUACUGGAAGACUAGAGGACCGGAGAGGAUAGUGGAAUUCCCAGUGUAGUGGUGAAAUACGUAGAGAUUGGGAAGAACACCAGUGGCGAAGGCGGCUAUCUGGACGGUUUCUGACGCUAAGACGCGAAAGCGUGGGGAGCAAACAGG
rnacentral:rRNA from 1 species